CCUACGGGUGGCAGCAGUGGGGAAUAUUGGUCAAUGGGCGAGAGUCUGAUGCAGCCACGCCGCGUGAAGGAAGACUGUUUUCUGAUUUUAAACCUCCAUCUAUAGGGGAGUAAAAAAUGACGGUACCUAGAUAAGAAACCUCCGCUAACAACGUGCCAGCAGCCGCGGUGAUACGUAGGCGGCAAGCGUUAUCCGGAAUUACUGGGUGUAAAGGGAGAGUAGGUGGCAAGGUAAGCGAUAUGUGAAAGCCUUAAGCUUAACCAAAAGAUUGCAUAACAUACUAGCUGUCUAGAGUACAGUAGAGGAAAGCGGAAUUCGUGGUGUAGCGGUGAAAUGCGUAGAUAUCACGAAGAACACCGGUUGCGAAGGCAGCUUUCUGGACUGAAACUGACACUGAGGCUCGAAAGUGUGGGGAGCGAACAGGAUUAGAUACCCGGGUAGUC
rnacentral:rRNA from 1 species